UUUUUUUUUUUAACCCUUACUGAGAGCCUCCAGCAGGCCAGAUUUAAUUUGAUGCAUAUGGCAUCCACACGAUAUAGGCCUUGUUACCUCCAAUUUUCCCAAUGAGAAGCUGAGGCUCAGGGGUUAAAGGGGAGACAACUGGUCACUGGUGGGGCUGAGGUUUGAAUCUGGCUUGCUGGCUCCCCGAAUAAGAGGAUUCUUUCCACUCCUCCAAGCUCCCCGACAAGGGACUCACCUUUCCCAAGGUCUAAGGAUGUCCUAAGGGGCUCACAGGUCCCACUGGUCUCCUUGGAGGCUGGACCUUGAGUCACCCCGGAUUGAGCCUCGUACCCUCAGUAUUUUGCCAAUGAUCUCAGGGUGAAUGGUGCUGAGGAAGGAGAACUUCAGAGAAGAGAAACUAACUUCCACAGUGGGCCAGGUCAGAUCGUACUAUUUUGUACCAAAAGCUGUUAUCAGGCUUAAAGGGGAAAGAGCGGGUGUAACGGAGACUUCAGAAUGUGUUUCGGAACUACAGCAAGAUCCCGCUCAUGGAGGUACAUAAAACCUCAGAGGUGGUUUCGUGAGAUGAGUCAGAAGAGUAUAUUGUUGCAUUGAUUCAACUGCUGCAUCUAAAAUGGCUUUGGUUUCUGAAGCAGCCAAGACAGAGAGAGAGAGAGAGAGACAAGGCGUCCACACUGUCUCUCUGAAGGGCAGCCUCUAGCAUCGUGACUUUGGAAUCCAUCUGUGUACCAGCGAGCCUAACUCAUAAUGAAAUUCUGGCCAGGAUCCACCUCUCACCAAAAAAAAAAAAAAAAAAAGAAUGGAAAAGAACUUCCACCUAAGGAAUUGCUGAAUUCAGGGAUCAGAAGCCAUGUGCUUCUAUCACAGCAGUGGGGAGUCUGGAAGGGACUACAGAAGGCAUGGCCAGGGCUUUGGAAUGGUAUGACUGACCAGCAGAGAGUCCUCCUCCCCUCCCAGGAUCCUCUAGGCACCCCUCCCCAGGUAGGAAUCUGUUAAGGAUGAGGCGUGUCCACAACAAGAAGAGAUCAUAGGAAUGAGGGAAGCAGUGAAGCCUGUUUCCCUGUCAAAGCCAGAGGGCCAGUGUGAUCCAGGAGGGAAGGCACUGGAAUGAGCGACAAGAGACCUGUUUUCGUCCUGGCCUCAUAACUGCUGUGCCACAUUGGGCCCACCUCUCCCUUUCCCUGAGCCUCAGAUGCCCCAUCUGCCAAAUCCUAGACUGGGCCAGCUGCCCUCCCAGGGACCUCUCAUCUGUUAUAGAAGGUGGUUCUGGAGCCCCUUGGGUGUGGGCCUGUGACAAGAAAUGAACUGCCACGUAGCACAGAAGAUGAAAUGAAUCAGAUAUUCAUGCAAGAAACCGGCCAACAGGCUCAUCUGAGAGUCUCCACAGGGUCAUGAUGUCACUACCUAGAGGGAAUCUGUCUUUAUUUAUUGGCUCUUUCCUGUGCAGAAUGCAAGGGAGUCUCCCUCCGGCUGAGACCCCCGGGAAGGAGGCCACAAGUGGAGGUGACUUGAACCAGGACGGCAGGAACCUGGGGUCCCUGGGGGGCUCCGGACAGAGGUCAUGGUGGAAACCCUGGGAGGUGGGGUUGCCUUUAGGAUUUUCUCCUGGCCACGUGGCGCAUGUGUGGUUGAGGCUGGGACCGGACCCUUCCCUGCACACCGAGCUGCACUUCUGCAGAGCUCUCAGCCUUGCUGCAGGAUCCAGCAGCCACCCGCUCCUGAGUACCCCGAUCCCCCUCCUCUGAACUCCCCUGUCCCACUCACAUGGGAGCAGCCACCUCAUCUUACAGAGGAAGGAACUGAGGGCAGAGGGGUGGCCUGACUUGGCCAGAGUCCAGCGGGGGUGGGAGCAGCAGGGCUAGGCCUUGAAUGCAGGUCUCUGGAUUCCCGACAGGGUGCCCCCGGCCCAGCUGCCAGUCCCCCUUGCCUCUGCUGAGCCCAUCCUUGCAGGGCCCACCACCUGCCUCUCUGAGUCUUCAUCAUGGCUCCUGGAGGGUAGAGAGCACUGCUAGCACCUUUUGGGGCUCUGGGCAUCCCGCAUGGCAAUGGGCAUACCAUGGUGCCCAGCAACCCUCAGCAGACAGAAUUAGCCACUGGCUUUAGAGACUGACCAUGUCUCCGAGAAGACUCUGAUGAACUGAGUGGGUGACCUGGCAGGCUCAGGUUGGGGGAGUUGAAGAGUCACCAUGCUACAGUGGAAAGAACCCUGGCCUGGGAGUCUGGGUUGAGUCCAUGCCUGGCUGGGCUAUACAUCAGUGACCCUGGAGAUGUGUCCCCUUCUCUGGGCUUCAGGUUCCCCAUGAGUCCAACAAGGGGCUGGAGGAACUCCCUGACCUCUGGUGCCCCUGCAGCUCUAGCAACCCCUGGCUUUAGGCACUACUAGUGUCCCCAGCAAGACCACGGACAGAGCCGAAAGUGGCAGUGCAUUACCCCUUGCUCCUGACAGAUCUGCGUCAGCCUCUCCAGCUGCUCGUCUUGGAUGACCUUGGCCUUCUCGUACUGCUGGAUAACCAUCUCCAUCUCCAGCUUCACUGGCAGGACGUAGGCUGGAAGACAGAGACAGCCCUGUAAAGAAUUCAGAAGUGGCAGGGCUUGGACUGGGGAAGGGCAGGCCCAGCAUUCAGCCAGCAGCAGGUUCGAGGCCCUGGGCCAUUUCUGUGGAUCUAGAAGGGGAAAUGUCCAGGUACCCGACAGCAUCCAGAAAGUACAGAGGGCCACAACCUCCACUCAUGGUGUCCAGGGUAGCUGUUUUCCUGUUUUCCAUGGUGCUAGAUCCCGUACUUUUGGGCUGUGUGCACAGCUGCCUGGAAUAAAGACUAUUUUCCAGCCUCCUUUGCAGCUAUGGGUGGCCACAAGACCACCCUCUGGACCAUAGGAUGCUAGUGAAGGUGGCAUGCAGCAGCUGCAGGAGCCUUCUUCACAGAGGAGCUGGGGCCAGUGAGGAUGGGGCAGCCCUGGAGCCUGCACACACUGGUGGAAAGCAAAACGGUGCAACCACUUAGGGAAACGGUUUGUCUGUUUUUCAGAGUGUUAAACAGAGAGUGACCAUAUGACCCAGAAAUUCCAUUCCUAGGUACCUUAGGGGAAGGAAAACAUGUGUCUUCACAAAAACUCGCACACGAGCAUUCAUAACAGCAUUAUUCCUAAUAGCCAAAAAGUAGACAUAACCCAAAUGUUCAUCAGCCGAUGAAUGCGUAAAUAAACUGUGGUCUAGC